AGCUGUGUUCCCAUGGCUGACCCAUUGCUUGCCUCAGGUGGUCAAUCAGAGGUUCAGGCCAUGAUUCAGCAGCUCCUAUACAGCAAGGAAUAUUCACUUCCUUCUCCCCUGAGCAGAACCCUGGUGUUCAGAAUGCUUUCUUUCCUCUGUUAGAGUGCAUCAGAAUGAAUGUAGGUUUAGAAACCAGGGCUGUAUGAAGAAGCAAUUUAAUCUGCAGCUGGUCUGAGGGAUGCUUUUUGCCUUUGGGUGAAAUACAAGAGGAGAAAAUCCAUAGGCCCUGUGUCACUCCUGUGGUCAGCAGUGGGAGAAAAAUGUCUGAACUUCCAGCAAAUCCAUCCCUAUCAAAUAAGGAGCAACCUGUGCUGCAGAUGAAAGAGUUGCCAUCUUCAGCAAGGCAUUCCUCUUACAGCAGAGGAAGAAGCCACAGGCAGAUCAGGCUAUCGUAAGGCUGGUUAGUUUUCUUUGGUGGUGGGGAUGAAGGUACAGACAGGAGGGGAGAGCUGGAUGUCAUGAGAACAGCAGAGUUGGUCUGCAUGGAGCACUGACCUCAGGAAUUCGAUUCUUGCAGUUAAACUCUUGGGUUUAUGCAAUCUCUCUCUCACUUGUGUGGGUGCUCUUACAGUGUUGUUUUCAGUCAGCUUUUCAAAUACUGAAACUUGAGCUGUUCAGGGGAUGCCAAGUGAGCAACACCCUCCCAAAAGCUGCCAGCUGGGAUAACCCCAAAGAAGCAGUUCCCAGUGGAACAGACAUUAGAGGGGACAUAGAAAACCACUGAAUACAAGUCAUCGUCCUUGAGGAGUUUGCCACAGCAUGGACAACUGGGCAGUGUAUUUUUCUGACUAUUUACUUUUUAAACAGGCUGAUGGAAAGCAGGGACAACUAAGAGUGACAAGGCAGCAAGAUGUCCCAGCCAGCCAAGCACUGUGUGUUGGAUGGUGUCCUUGAAGUUGAGCCCCACAAGCUGACACAGCACAUCAAAUCCUGUGUUCCCUGGAACAGCUGUAGGUCAGACAGCAAAGGACUGUCACAGGAGUUCAGGCAUUAGUUCUGUGCUGAAGAACACAGCAGUGGCUUUGGAGGAGCAGGAGGAGUACUGUGACAAUGAAAUGCAUUUUUGUCUUUAAGUUCUCUCUUGUCUUCCCUUCCCCUCUCAGCUUCCAGGAUUUCAACCUCAGCUGUUUUCAUUUGGGAUUGCAAUGCUUCUUGUUGUGUUCGUAUCACACCCAGUUGAUAUAAUGGAUAGGAAUGAGUUAAAAUAAUACCAGAGUUUGGCUCCUAUGUGCCUCCUCCUUUCUGCUUAUGUGAAACUGUCUCCAGUUUUCAGCCACCUCUCCUAAAAUCUGCAGGACUCAGCUCACUGGGGUCCCGGGUUUGGACUUGUGCCUUAGGCUGAGGUUGGAGCAGUGACCUCUGAGUGCAGGCUGGAUGUGGGGAGGGGCAGUGGGAGGACGAGUUUUAAUUAUUUUGAAUUGCUUUCUGGAACAGAAGUAAAGUUGAAGGGAUGUGCACAUUAAAGUGGCAAGUCUUUCCUCUGUCUUUCAUGUAUGUGAUCCAGUUAAACCAUUGCCAUGUAAGUCUUUUUAUGCUGUUAAUUUGCCCAGUAGUCGGUGUUGCUCUGUUACAUUGCACUCCUGGCUUUAAUGAACAGCAUUGUACAAUAAUAAAUCUGGGUUUAAAACAAA